UCAGGCCUUUCUGAGUAUAGAGCUAUCUUCUUUCUAUGUGAAAAAGAUAAGGAAACACUCUAAAGGUUCCAAACAUAAAAAAAGAUGUGAAAUGUCAGGGCCACAGAAAUAGUCAGGCCUUUCUGAGUAUAGAGCUAUCUUCUUUCUAUGUGAAAAAGAUAAGCAAACACUCUAAAGGUUCCAAACAUAAAAAGAGAUGUGAAAUGUAAGGGCCACAGAAAUAGUCAGCCUCUGCAAACAUUAGGAUUGUAUGAUGUUGUUGUUAUUAUUAUUAUUGAGAGGCUGGGUGGCCAUCUGUUGGGAGUGCUUGGAUUGUGUCCUGCAUGGCAGAUCAUGGGAGGUGUUCGCUGGCCCUGAUUGUUUAGUGUCUGGCAUUCCCGUGUUUUAAGAGUGUUUUUUUUUUAUUUGGUGUUGUGAUUUUAAGCUUGUUAAAAUAUUAGGAGAGAGAUUGUGUUGAUUGUCAUGGUUCAUAGCAUAUAUUUAAAAUAUAGAGUAUUAAAAUGGGUUGGAUAUUGUAGAAGGUUGGAGUGGAGAUAAAUGGUUUGGAUGAUGGGCGGGCGCUAGGACCCAGGGGACAGUUUUUUCCCAUUGCCUGCCUUCCCUGUUGCCGGUGGCCAUGAGGGCUUCUCUUUUCCCUCCCUGGCAUGGCUCCCGAUGGGGCGUUGUGGGUUCUCUUCAUGUGGAGGUUUUUCAAGAUAUUUGGAACUACUGAUAAAGAAAUGCUAAACUUGAAAGAUACUUCAGAACUAACUUGCCACAAUCAGGAUCAAGUCUGAGAAGACACCAAAAGCAAUUCAGAUAGGCUAUGCUGGUGAGUAUCUCUCACUUCUCAUGCAAGCCUUCAUGGAAGAGCCUUUCAUUAUGCAAAGAAGUAGAAUGAGUUAUAGUUCUAAUUAGAACAGGAUUAAUGGAAAGAAACUAAGAUCUCUCCUGGAAAUGACAAAAUGCAUACUGGCAGAUGUCUUGAUUGCAAUGUAGCACCAUGAAGCAUAUUAGAACUUUGAGCAGAAGUACAUACUUCAAAUCAAAAGUAAAGUAAACUACACACUACAGAACAGACUGCUCUAAUUGAGAUUGAACCUGGAAACAAAGGAUAUCAAGAAAUAUACUGAAAGACUGGUGAACUUACUAGUAGACACAUAGUUCACGUUAAUGAAUAAAACAGAACAGAUAAGAAGGAAGAACAAUAAAUGCCCUGACUGACUCACCAGGGCAGGGAGGUUGAGGCAGCAGCAUGCCAUCUUCUUGGGGGCGCCUUCUUCCUAGGAGCCUUUUGCACCUGGCAUGCUUUGCAUACCUAGGGCCUGGCCGGCCAAUCAGGAGUAGAUCCCACCCCACCCUCUAAUUGGCUGAGAUGGGCAUCCCUCUGGAUCUGCUGGCAGCCUAUUUAAGGCUAUGUUGGGCCAUUCCCCAGACGGUGUUUCCCAAGGCUGUCCCAUCCACCCACUCAUCCUUUGUUCUGUUAACUUUGACUAUGUUGUAUAAUCAGAGUUUUGUUCUUUGUCACAAAUUGCUGGCAUUUGGCAUGACAUAACUCCCUUCCCCAUUUCAAAAGGAGGGGAGUGUCCAGUGGCUUAUCAGGGGUGCAGCAGUACCAGUGUCCUGGCACGGAACUGAUCGGUAAAUGGUUGCACCCCUAGACAUGGUUAGUGGCAUCGGUCAACAGUGGGUUUUCUGAUUCCUGAUCCAAGACCCAUUGUUGUAACCAAUAAACAAGUUGUGGCCUUUGUUAUCCCAACACUGUGUGUUUGUCUUCCUUCUGGUGGGAGGGGGUCAUCACCACUGCACAUGCAACAAAAUCUCUAGUUCAUCAUAGAAGUGCAAAUAAUGCCAACAUUUACAAUAUCACAAACAUUUGGAAUAGACUGAUGAAACAUUUGCAUCUGUGGUUAGAAACAGCACCCUAAAACUGUUCUUUAGCAUGGCUGCCUUCAAACAUAUAGAUAAUAGUCACCUUGAUGUGAAAACUGCAUUUUUUCAUGGAGAAAUAAUGAGAAGCUGUACAUGCAAUAACCCAAAAAGAAGGACUGGGCCAGUGUAAAAUGAAUGGUUAGAGAUACUAGAAGGAAAUGUAGAGUUUAAACUGAAGCUGACAGUAAUCUAAAACCUGUAUGUUGCAUGGAUAACGAUUGAACAAGCGAUAGUGCAGAUUAUCAAUCUGCCAUUAUUUUAAAAUGAAAAUGUGUCUAAUUUCUAAACCAAUCUUAAACAAGUAAUAUUUUGCAAAUAGGAAGAAUGCAUUGCACAGAAGCAUGCAGAGAGGUUUUAUGAAUUGAUCAACUAUUGACUGACUUUGGAAUAAGUAAACAGAAACAGAUUUAGUUUAUGAAAGGAAUCCUAUUGUUGUUGUGCCUUUUCCAGAAAACAACAGCCCACUGAUUCUGGCCAUGAAAGCCUUCGACAACACAAACCUGUUGUAUUAAAUUUAUUCAAUAAGAUACCAUGCAGCAAACACAUUGGAACAAAACACAACAAAAUACAUGAGGUGACUAACAAAGGAGUAAUCAAGAUGAUCUACUGUCUAGUUACUGAAAUGUCAGUUGAUAUCUUGACCAAGCCUUUACCAAGAGACUCUUUAAGAACCUGUGAGUCAUGGUGAGUUUUCAGAGCUGAGAGGGUAUGUCAGAGUUUGCAUUCUUUGCAAGUCUGUAUUCAUGAAUUGAUAGCUUGCACGUUGCUUUAUGGGAGUUUAGCACAGUACAUAUUUAUGGCAACUUCUUGAUUGUUAGGAUUUUUUUUACAUCCUUUCUCCUCCUGCAUCACUCUAUCCUACAAUCAUUCUCCUGUUAUGUCUCUUUCAUUGAUUAGACCAUAUACUUGAUUGUGUACAAACAUUUCAGGUAAGGCUACUUUUUAUAUAUAUAUUACAAAAAACUAAGCUUAUUUUUCCCCCUGCUGGACAUUGUCGAGGUUUUUGGAAACGAAUUAAUGCUCAAUUCUUGCUUGUCAAUUGAUAUUUAUGUUAGAAAGGUCCACUAACAUAUCUCUCAUUUCCCAACACAGAUGGUGAUCAGAAGCGGAACCUUCUUGGUGGUAGCACCUUGCUUGUAGUAUUACUUGACUAGAACUUCCAUUUUUUUUCUGGUAUUGAAAGUGUACAGUUCUUGCUGUUGUUGUAUUUAUUGUAGUGUAGAAAUUGUAUUUGUCUUUUUAUUUCUAUAUACACCUUCUUGACAGUAUGAUUGUGGAUUAGUAUAUAAGUUGAAUAUAUUAAUUGGAAAUUGUGGUUUAUCAAUUUAGGGAAUGAUUAUAGUGCUGGUUUGUGUCUUCCAUGUGACUAAAGUAAUAAGUUCACAGCAGGUCUUAGUUCAAAGGUUGUAAUCCAUGAUGCUGAACCCUAUCCUCAAAAUAGGUCUGGGACCUUGAAUAGCUCUUCAACCAUCCAGACUCUGUGGAUUCACUGUCCCAAUGACAUAAGAACUACCCAAUCUGGAAAAUUUCAGGUAAAACAUGCCUGCAUCCUACACUGACUAUGGAUGUCUAUUAAAAAAGGAGAUGUCACACUGCUCAUGUCUCUCCACACUGCUCAUGUCUCUCCAUAACUUGCAUGGUGUGUUUGAAGGCUCACAAAGGAUCUUGGGAAGCAUACUUAGUCUUCUUUUUUAAUUAACCAAUAAAAUAUUAAGUGAAACAAUGGAUAAAGUAAUAUACUGAAGGCCAAAAUACUGACAGGUUGCUGUGAAAGGUCAGUGAUUACACAGGUUGGUUCUCUGUGGUUCAACUGUGAUGUAGUGAAGAAAAAUGAAGAGCUCUCUAGGGAUAGACAAGGUUUCUACUAGUUUUGCAUUAUGCUAUACUUCAUGCAGUUCUUAAUUUUAGAGAAAUUUUGUUUUGAAAGUUUACACAAAAAAAUUAUAACAAUACUGUGGACUCUUGGUAGUCCCUGGGUUUGGUUCCAGGACACCCCCUCCCUUGGAUACUAAAAUUUAUGGAUGCUCAAUUCCCAUUAUAUACAGUGGCAUAGAAAAAUGGUGUCCCUCACAUAAAAUAGCAAAAUCAAGUUUUACUUUUUGGAUUUUUUUAAAAAUCAAGCUGUGGAUGCUUGAAUCCAUGGAUGCAGAAGCUAUGGAUAGAGAAGGCCAGCUGUAUAGGCUGAAAUCAUGUUGGUACACGAUGUCACAAUGUCCUUUUGGUACACAAUGUCAGUGGUUCUACUUUUUCCAGAAUACCAUAGGAAUGCAAAGGGAAAACAGAUAAAAUCCAAUGCAUCUGAGUGGCCUACUUCUCCAGUGCCUUCCUUCCAUUAUGGUUGUUGUUGCACCUAUGAUUUUUCUCCACCUGGAGCCACCAUAAAAGCCAGGAUACUUAUGCUAGCAUAGUACACAAACAAGACAGUAGCCUAGCAUGCAUUUCUCCUAAUUCAUACACAUAUAUUUUGUUGAAACUUUUACUAGGGAGCUCCAAUGCCAAAUUUGGACUGUGGUUACAGAAAGAAAAUGUUUGAGGAUUAUAGAACUGCAGGCCAUUUAUUCGUUCAGAAGUCUGAAGUUAUGUGCUACCUACUACACUCCUAACAAUAACAAAUAGCAAUAGCAAAGCAUGUUUAUUUGAUUCAGAUGAAUAAAAUGUACCUGGGACCCUGGUGCUGAAUCACACAUUCUAGUCAUCCUGCCUUCGUCAGACGUACAUAUAAUGAACAUACAUAUGCAAAUAUAUAAAAAACAUAUAUAAAUUCCACCUACAUAUAUCUGUUCACAGAAACCAUGCCUUAUAGCAUGGAUAGUAUUUCCUGAAUUAAUCAGAAUUCUGGGUUUUAAAAAAUGUACUGCUUAUCCAUGUUUUCUGUUCAUAAGUCACUAUGAUAAAUGAUUGUUUACUUUGCAAUACAAUUCCUUUAUUGAAGGGCCUGCAGUGGUUGCCAAUUAGAUAUGUUGAAUUUUAUGAAUCUAUGCAGUUUAGGAACAGGCUGUAAAAGACUUCAUCUUCCCCCAUAUGUACUACUUGGGACUUUAUUUAUUUAUUGGUAUGGGUUCUGCUUACUGUAAUAUGGCCUACUGAGAUUUGUUUGCUUUCCCUUAAAACUACUUUGCACAUUUUAAGUUGAAUAAAAUGGGAAUGAAACUAGAGAUGACCUUUCUGCCAGUUUUAAUUCCAUCAGGAGAUGGUGGUAUAGCCUGUGGUGGGUCUAGCAGGAAGCAAAAUUAUCCCUCCUCCUUGAAGCCGCUCACUCUUGUUUUAAAGGGACAAUGUAUUCAUAUGGAAUGAAAGGAGAAACAAACACUCUUUACUCUCAUUCUCUAAUUUCAGGUUCAAACAUCAUACUUCCAAGAAGGUAUUUGUCAGUUAUUAUAAUUGCAUUUCUGUCAUAAUUUAUCUUGUGUGAUCUGAGGAAUCUGAUAUGGAAGAGUAUCUGGCUUCAGAAAAUGUCUCCUCCCCUGAAUGUGAGCAGCUAGUGACACAUGCAGCUGACAAAGGAAUAUGACCCACUACCACAGAUUGAAUUGAUGGAUACUGAGAAGACACCCCCUACCCCAUCUUUUGCAGUGCGUCAAUGGGAAUGGAAAUAGAAGAAUCAACAUCUCAUGCAGAAGCUUAAAUGAGAAACCUGGCACCUCAAGGAUGAGCAGCUAUAAAUCUCCCAGCAAGUGCUACGAGUUCUUAUUCUCAACUGUUCAUUCUACUGGGCUUUCAUUUCUUUUGUGCUCCUAGAUAUAUUCUUGGUUCUUAGCCUCAUGGAUGACUUUUGGUUACUGUGGUUGCUGGCUUCUCAUGACAGGAACAGCUGAGACCUUAUUACUAUGCCUGACUCCAACUCCAAUUUCCUUGAUUACCUGUGUAUGACCUGGACAAUCUUGAUUCACCUGUAAUGGCUUCCCUGUUAUAGCCUCCUUCUUUUGGCACUUCCUGCCUGUAGGCAUAGAAAGAUUUUUUCCUUUAAGAAGAAUGGGCUAUCAAUAAUGGAUCCAGUCUAUUUAGGAGCAAUCCUUCCUUCAUCCUGCUAAAGAAGUAAAAUAAGACUAAAAAGA